UACGAAGGAUGCAAGCGUUAUCCGGAUUUAUUGGGUUUAAAGGGUGCGUAGGCGGACUUAUAAGUCAGUGGUGAAAUCUCGUUGCUUAACAACGAACGUGCCAUUGAUACUGUAGGUCUUGAGUACAGAUGCCGUUGGCGGAAUGUGUCAUGUAGCGGUGAAAUGCAUAGAUAUGACACAGAACACCGAUUGCGAAGGCAGCUGACGAAACUGUAACUGACGCUGAGGCACGAAAGCGUGGGGAGCAAACAGG
rnacentral:rRNA from 1 species